GACGAACGCUGGCGGCGUGCUUAACACAUGCAAGUCGAACGGACCUUGUAGGAUCUGAAACUUCGGUUGACGAACCUACGCUGGUUAGUGGCGGACGGGUGAGUAACACGUGGGUAAUCUACCCCAUUUAUCGGGACAACACCGGGAAACUGGUGCUAAUACCGAGUAAGCUCCAAGGAAGGCAUCUUCCAUGGAGGAAAGGUGGCCUCUGAUUAAAGCUACCGAGAUGGGAUGGGCCCGCGUCUGAUUAGUUAGUUGGUGGGGUAACGGCCUACCAAGGCGACGAUCAGUAGCCGGCCUGAGAGGGUGGCCGGUCACACUGGGACUGAGACACGGCCCAGACUCCUACGGGAGGCAGCAGUGGGGAAUCUUCCGCAAUGGGCGCAAGCCUGACGGAGCAACGCCGCGUGAAUGAAGAAGGCCUUCGGGUCGUAAAGUUCUGUCAUUAGGGAAGAAGGUGCAUACAGUGAAUAGCUGUAAGUAUUGACGGUACCUAAUGAGGAAGCUCCGGCUAACUACGUGCCAGCAGCCGCCGUAACAC
rnacentral:rRNA from 1 species